GCUGUAGCUCGGUGGCAGAGCCUCUGCUUUGCAUGCAAAAGAUCCCAAGUUCAGUCCUUGGCAUCUCUA